rnacentral:rRNA from 1 species
CCUACGGGAGGCAGCAGUGAGGAAUAUUGGUCAAUGGUCGAGAGUCUGAACCAGCCAAGCCGCGUGAAGGAUGACGGCACUGUGGGUUGUAAACUUCUUUUAUAUGGGAAUAAAAUCUUGCACGUGUCCACUUUUGUGUGUACCUUAAGAAUAAGGAUCGGCUAACUCCGUGCCAGCAGCCGCGGUAAUACGGAGGAUCCGAGCGUUAUCCGGAUUUAUUGGGUUUAAAGGGAGCGUAGGCGGGUUGUUAAGUCAGUUGGGAAAGGUUGCGGCUCAACCGUCAAAUUGCAGUUGAAACUGGCAGUCUUGAGAACAGUAGAGGUAGGCGGAAUGCGUGGUGUAGCGGUGAAAUGCUUAGAUAGCACGAAGAACUCCGAUUGCGAAGGCAGCUUACCGGACUGCAACUGACACUGAGGCACGAAAGUGUGGGUAUCAAACAGGAGUAGAUACCCGAGUAGUC